UACAGAGGUCUCAAGCGUUGUUCGGAUUCAUUGGGCGUAAAGGGUGUGUAGGUGGCGCGCUAAGUCGGGUGUGAAAUUUCGGAGCUUAACUCCGAAACUGCAUUCGAUACUGGCGUGCUUGAGGACUGGAGAGGAGAAUGGAAUUCCCGGUGUAGCGGUGAAAUGCGCAGAUAGUCGGGAGGAACACCGGUGGCGAAGGCGGUUCUCUGGGCCUUACCUGACGCUGAGGAGCGAAAGCGUGGGAGCGAACAGGAUUGAGAACCCAGUA
rnacentral:rRNA from 1 species